AGCGAACGCUGGCGGCAGGCCUAACACAUGCAAGUCGAACGGGCUCUUCGGAGCUAGUGGCGGACGGGUGAGUAACACGUGGGAACGUGCCUUUAGGUUCGGAAUAAGCCCGGGAAACUGGGUCUAAUACCGGAUGUGCCCUUCGGGGGAAAGAUUUAUCGCCUUUAGAGCGGCCCGCGUCUGAUUAGCUAGUUGGUGGUGUAAUGGACCGCCAAGGCGACGAUCAGUAGCUGGCCUGAGAGGAUGAUCAGCCACAUUGGGACUGAGACACGGCCCAAACUCCUACGGGAGGCAGCAGUGGGGAAUCUUGCGCAAUGGGCGAAAGCCUGACGCAGCCAUGCCGCGUGAAUGAUGAAGGUCUUAGGAUUGUAAAAUUCUUUCACCGGGGACGAUAAUGACGGUACCCGGAGAAGAAGCCCCGGCUAACUUCGUGCCAGCCGCCGCAGUAAUAC
rnacentral:rRNA from 1 species